GAGAGCUAGGCUCAGCCAGCUGCUGCUGUUGCCUCCAUGUGAGUGCGGGGCAUGUUUCUCUCAACCCCCAGGCCUAGUGCUUUCAGCCUGUGUCCCCCUGCCCAGUCCCAGGAUCCUGUCUCCCUCUUCACUGACCCUAACAAGUGUUCCCCACUUGGGCCCACCACCAAGGGGAUAGUGAGGGGAAGAAGAGGUCCUGGCCCCUUCUGGGGGAUGGGACGGAGAAGAGGUCCCAGCUGGGGAAGGAAGACAUGCCAAGUCUGAGCCCUGAUUGCCAGGGCGCAGCCCUGAGAGCACAUUGAGAGGUACCAUGCCACCCUCCAGGUCCCAGUGCCCUUGUUCGUCAUGGAAGAUCUGGAAUCUGGACUGCAGCCUCUUCUCAAUGCUGCGGGGCUCAAGGAGGUCCCAGGGCCUCUCCUCCCAGACUUCUGCAUUUGUACUUGGGCAGGGGCUUCCUCAGAUGGGCAGAGAUGUGUUAUACUCCAUCUUUACAACAGACAGCUCCUUGUCUGCAGACUGCAGGACAAUGCAUUUACCUGCACCAUUCUGAGCUCCUCAGCAACGGCCUCAUAAGCUUGUUCAUUCAUCUCUGGAGGAACUGGCUCAUUGAAAAUAUUAUCCACCACUUCCCGUGAACUCUGAAUAUCCAUGGAAUCACAGACAAAGAUUUCAGGGCUUAUUCGUGGCACCAGACGAGACCUCAGUUGCCCUCCCUUUGUAGCCAAGCGGACUUCUACUAUGCAAAUCAGGAUUUGGGGAGACUGCAUACCAUAAAGAUCUGCUCUCCAGGGACUCCCUACAUCCUAAUGUGAAGAAGCAGGAGCAGG